UCGGAUAUGGUGUAACGGCUAACAUUACCGUCUUUCAUUGUCUUUGCGUGGAUUAUGCGCGGUAGCUCGGGGUUCGAUUCCCCGUAUCCGAA